UCUUAUCUGAGAAUAGAAACUAUGAUAAGGGCCCCCUAUCUAGGCGCUGCAGUGUCCCUCGUGGUGGGGCCGCAGCAGUUCCUUUGAAAAUAAUCACCAACUCCAUCUCUGCUAAAUCACCUUUCACACAGCUCUGGCCUUUGAUACAAAGGCCUCUGGCAAAAUUAGAGCAGGAUUGUGUAGACCCUAGAGAGAGAGCAUUAAAUGCUCGAGAUCAGAAUUAGGGGGCACCCAGCUAUAAUUGCAUAGGAGGAACCUCUCUGUUAUUUUUGCAGAGGGGAGGAUGUGCGCGUGUGUGUAGUUGGCCUUGCUUGCUACCAGACAGGCAAUGGGUUACGAAGAGAGACAUGAGGGGCUAAUUAACCAGCCUUUGUGACUUUUAACAAUGCACACUGGAGGGGUAAAUGAUGGACAAAAUGUGGUGAUGUGCCUGGUGCACAAAUACUAUUAUAGACUGAUUUGGGUGAAGCACUGUGCAGGACAAUCCUGUAACGGACAGGGGUGAACAAGACCAAAUAGGUGUCCUUUAGUUCUAGUUUCUUUUCUUCUGAUGACCUCUGUUUUCAUGGUCAGGAGGCAUGGCCCGGGGGUCAAAAUCUUUAUUUUGUUUAAUCUCUGCUGAAGUGAGUUUCAUGGUCUCAUAUGCUAAUAGUCCCUGCUGGGCACGUCACAAAACCAGGGCACCGUUCAAGACAACUGGUGGCCUUUUUUUCAUGACUCUACGUGGCCUGGAAUAGUGUUGGUACAGCGGGGGAGAAUCUGGGGGCUGGAAGAAUAGAAUGUGCCGUGGAGUCAGGACUGAGGUGCACUGGCUGAGCUGUGCAGGGAUACCCCGAGCUGAAAUAGCAGGGCUAUGGAAAUAGGAGUUAUGAUCAAAUGUGUUCUGUAAGUGCGCUCUCUCUAGGCUGUGAUUUUUGUGGGUCCUACUUGAGACAUCGUAAAGAGGACUGAUUUGCAAAAAAAAAAAAAAAAAAAAUUGCUAUAUUAUACCUGCCCUCUGAAAAUGAGAGUUGGGGACCCAAAAACUGAAGUAGAAAAAUGUUGGCCUCAGUCUUCAGCUUCCUACUCUCAUACUGACCAGGGCUUUAUCUCUUUUGGAAUUUAUCCAAAUUGGAGAAAUCUCAGCAGAACAGUCUAUUGUGCAAGUGGUUUAGCUAUUUCCACUCAGCCAGAUUAUCCUUCUGCAUGAUAUUUCCUCUUCAACUCCCAGACAGAACCAAGAGACAUGUUUUAAAAAAACAGCCAAACAAACCCUCUUCUUUCUGAAUAUAAAGUUUGGGAAAUUGCUUGGGGCAGGCAUGGCGGUGAAGCUGUUACAUUUUUGUGAGUUAACUUAAGUGGAGAAACCAGGUUAAACUCCUUGCAGUCAGUGUAACAGGGCUUUUCUGAAUGAAACCUUGUGAUAAUUAACUAGGUCACCCCCAGCUAGCUUCUCUCAUGUGCUCUCAUCAUGACAUUGUGAUACAGAGAUGGGGACAUAACAGUCUUAUGACAUUGUUUCUGGUACCCAGUGACUGAGUGUGACGUUGAGAUCAGACCUUUAAAGUAAAAAGUUUCCAAAGUGACAACCAUAUGGCUUGGAAGCAACUUGCAGUAAUGGGAGACUGUCAUAAGAAGCAGCAGAUAAACAUAAAAACCUUUGUCUUCCUGCUGAUCUGGUUUCCAGGACUCUGGCAUAAAGAGAGAGCUAGGAGCUAGUGUAAAGUCCAUUGAGAGUGAGCAUAGUGAGGUGUUGGUCUGUAACAUUGCCAGAGUCCAUGUGGGAUAAGGUGGCCAGAGACUAUGGCAAAAAUUUUAGCAUCACCCUUUCUGCCCCAAUUUUUCCAAAUACUUAGAAUAUGCCCUUUGGGUCUUUUCCUCCCAUUCUCCCUCCAUGACAGCGUGAAUUAUGGAUGGAGGUGCCAGCCUCAACUUUAAAUUUCCUGUCUCUUGUUGAUUUGUGGGAUAUUCAUACCAGAGAAAAACGCAUUGAUUCGUGGGGCAUUCAUACCAGGCUAAAUGGUGAAAGUUAAACAUAAAUCCAUUUUACCUUUAAUUAGUUUUGAUAUCGUUUUCUUUAUUUCUGUAGCUGGCUAUAAGAUGGAUCCAAGCCGAAACCCCAAAAUUAAACCUCUCUAUAUUUUGGAGAAGCUCAGAUCUGGAUCCCAAACUCUAUAAUGGGCUGAACCAAAACUCUGGAUGGCUCAGAAGACCGUGCCUUUACUUUUGCUUUACAUUUAUAGUUAGACACAUUUGCACCUCCAGAGAUCUUACACUCGGACUUAUACAGACAAAAGCAACCCCUUUCAGUUCUAAUGGUCUGAGAUAUUGUUAGUCACCAGGGAAGGGAAUUUUUCAUGUGAUAUUUAACCCGAUAGUGUCCCUUUAGUAUUGCACAUGCAGGACUGGAACAUGUGCUCUGUUUUCAGAUGCUUUCUCCAGUGCACCUUUUAAGGAGGGGUUCAAGGGGUGAUUGCUCAAUCUGUAACCUUCCUGCACUUCCUGCAGAGCUCUCUCUUAAAUUAUUUUUUAUCAAAAAGGCCCAGAAAUUUUGAUAGGGGAGAUGAGGAGAUGGGCGCUAUCAGGGAGGAUAAUAAAGAAGAACUGUCAUUUCCCUGGCGGUCGCUUUGUUGGCCCUGCUGCUUUCCAAGAUAAAGACACGGCGGCUAUUUUGGGUUCUAUAUCAAAAGGCUGAUUUGGCUGCUUGAUUAUAUAUAAAAUAUAGAUUUAAAGCUUAACUUAUGUUUCCGAAAGCGAAUCAAUAGCAGGGUAGAGCCUGACACAUUUGUUAUGAUCACUAAAGAGCUUUGCUGGGCUUGUUAAAGCUCACAGGGGCUGGAGGGGCUUUAAAAAUGCUGUUUGGAUCCAGUAUAUUAAAAUCUGACCUGCUCAGAAUAUAUUAUUUAUGAAUGAUCAUGUAAUGAUUGAUAACUGCUUUGGGAGGAAAUAUUUUCACUCUUGAUUAUUCUUCUACCCCUAGGUUUCUGGAGUUACCUCCUGGGAAGGAAUUACACCCCCUUUAUCCCCAGAGGAACAGGCAAGGGACAAUUGCAAACAGCUGUUGCCCACAAAUGCCACAAUCCAGCAAAGCACAUGAGUAGUGCCACUGACAUCAAGCACAGGGUUAAGUGCUUUGCUGGGUCAAACCUUAGUAUUUGUUCCUAGGGGUUGGUGUGCGCAGAGUCACUGUUGACCACCUGGGAAACGGGCAGUUAGGAAGCUCAGGGACAUCAGUCUUAAGCAAGUCUCUUUUAGGAUCCAAACUUGCGGCACUUGAAGCAAGAAGGCCCACAGUGCUUUUCGGUGUGUUGAACCAGCAGACACGUGUCUGAAAUCCGUAGUCCUUUAAUGAUGAGAGGCUGAAACCAAACCCCAGAUUCAAAACUCCCCAAACACGGGGGAUGGUCAAAGCCUGCACCAUCAUCUAGGUCUGAGUUGUGCAAGUGGGCCAAACCAAAAGCCCUCCUGUAACGUCCUCACACCUCCGUGCAUUCAGAAAUGAUGAUGAUGAGCUUGAAUGUCAGUGCUGGUCCUCUAUGCAUGCAUUGCAACAUCAGUUCCAGUGUCUGGCUUAAGAGAUGUGGCAGGGGUAAAGGGAAAUGGGUUUAAUCCUUCCUCUGGGGCCAUUCCCAGAAGGUUGCGAUGAGGAACUUUUCUUCUGCUCUCACCUUUGGCGUUCUAGAGGGUUCAGUUUUCUCUCCUGUGUUGUUCAAUAUCUGCAUGCAGCUGGUGGGGGAAAAUGCGCAACCCAUGGGCUCAAAGGCCAAAAAUAUGUAGACAGCACUCAGUUUAUUCUUCAUAUCCAGCAUAAACACCACUGUCACCCAGCUAUGACAGUGUCUGGCUGAAACCAGCUCAGGAAUAAAAGAGUUUUGGCUGAAGUAAGAUCCAAGCAAGAUGGAGGUUUUGUGUUUUAGGUAGAGGGGAAAGAGUUUGAAGGACUUGCCGUGCUGCUGAAAUCUCCUUCAAUCCAGGAGGUAUGUGCCCAUAGUUGUCAGGUUAGCCUGCAGUCAGUCUAGGAAUCCUUGUGGACUCUCUUUGGAAAAGGAUGCUCACCCAGCAUCAGCUACAAAGCAGUCAGUCUGCCACUGACAGCAAGUAUGGCAACUGUGGCCCGUCAUAUCCAGUGACAGUAUGACCUCAGUCACACACACUUUCAUUACCUCCAGCCUCGGUUAGUGUGAGGGAGAGGCUUUGGCUUGACAGCACACACCUCGGAAAGAAUGCAGCAGUGCCCCGUCAGUAACACAAGUUACUAAGGGCACAUCACUGCUGUUCUCUGCUCACUCCUCUGUCUCCUUGUUGAACACUGAGUCAGAUUUAAGGUUUCUAUCCUUAUUUUUAAGGCCCCAGUGGUUUGGGUUCAGCAUGUCUAUAGGGCUGUCUUGCACUCCACAACCUCAACUGCCUGUGGCAGCUCUGUUACCUGGGAACAAUGGGACCGUCCGCUUCCAAGAUGGAGCUUUGUGAGCAGGACAUGGGGCUCUCUUGAGGUUUUGUCAUUUACUUGUAUUGGAGCUCAGAACAAUCACAGAGCUCUCCACCCUCAGGUUCAAACGUCAAUCCCACGCCAUUGACCUUGUUUUCCUACACAGCAGCUAAUAGUCUGUUGUCACAAUCUCACGUACCUCAUUUCCCCCGUGGGGUGGAGUGGAGAGGAAAUUUGACUGACGUAAGUCACCUUGAAUGGCGUUUAACUAUUGGGAGUUGCUCAGAUAUUUCAGUGGUGGACACACGACAAAAACUUGAGCAGAGUAGAAUGGAAAUAAGAGCUAAUGGAAUGUCUAGAUUUGAGUUUUGUGAGUGGUCUCCAUUUUUAUGGAGCCAAAACCCCAGAUCCAAACACUCACUAAUGCUGGGGUCUUGGAAAUCAAGGUCUGAUCCAGAGUUUGCAGUCUGAGCCCCUCUGUAGUAAAGGCCACUCACUGGCUCCUCCUUCCCUGUCUACCCUAUGCACGUGGUUUUCUGAGGGUGCCUUCAUCUCCAUUUGUUACACUUUGAAUGUCAGACCAUACAGAACCAUGGGUACAUUUCAGUGCCUCAGCACAGUGUGGUGAUAAAGUUCCAGGUAGAGGAAGACAACACUUUGCAGGACCCACGGGGGGUCUCGCCGUAGCCACCUGCCAUAAAAAAACUGACGAGAGCAUAGCGAUGAGGUCAGUGCAGCAAUUUGAACUUGCCAGGAAGCGGGGGCUAGAGCCAUCCGUGCCUUGGCUGAUAGGUCUCUGGGGCUUGUCUUUCCACAAGUGACACACACACACACACACACCCAAAACCCUGCAAUCGCUCUUUGCAAGAGCUUCACUGCUUCCAGGGGGAAAGAGUGCAAAGUAACUUGAUGCCUUUAUUGUCUUUAUAACAUGAACCAAUUUGUCAACAAACUACUGUGCGGCCUGAUGCGUGGUUGCACAGAGGGCCGGGCUAGGAGAAAGGAGGGGUAUUUUGCCACUAGUUUAAGCAUCGUUCUUUUUAAAAGAAUAUAAACAUACUGUAUAGAGCUGGCUCAUUAGACACUUGCCCAGUGGCAUUAUUGUUUUAAUUAAAUAACUUCCCAGGAGGAGCUGAGUUUUCAGUAAUAAUAGUACUUUGCCCUCCUUAUACCACCUUCCCUCUGAGGAUCUCCAUGUGCUUUACAAACAUGAGCGAGCUAAUCUCAUCCCCCAUAUGAAACAGAUCACUUAUACGUUCUCCACAUUUUACAGACAGGGAAACUGAGGCAUAAAAAGCUUCAGUGACUAGCCCCAAGAUACCUUGGCUACUGGUUCCUAGUCAGGUUAGGAGGGCUCCUAGUCAUCUGUCUUAACCAUAAGGCCAUAAAGUCAGUGUGACGGAAAUGAUAGCUCUCACCUCUGAACCCAGCAGGUCCUGUGUAGAUCUCCACGAAGCAUGACUAGAGAUCACGUCCACCUGCCUUCAUAUUCUGUUACUAAGCUCAGAUUUCUAGUUGUCGUGAAUCCUGGCCCACUUUUGGGGAAACCAUGGUUGAGUUGUGGGCAUAGGUGCUGGAACUAGAGGUGCUGGGGAUACGGCAGCACCCCCUGGCUAGAAGUGGUUUCCAUCAUAUACAGGGUUUACAGUUUGGUGCAAUAGCUGUCUGCACCCCCACUGUACAAAUUGUUCCAGCGCUCCUGGUUGUGGGUAUUGGGGAGGGAUUUACAGUUUGUCAGAAUUCAGUUGUUGCGGGUCUACUUGAACCUGCAGAGGGGUUGGGGGGAGUUCGAUUCUUGGGUGAGACCCCUCAAAUAAUCCCACCCACUGAUCCACCAUGACCUAACCUGCAUGAUGGUAGACAACUGUAGUUGUGGGGUCAAAUUCCAUACCAGGACUCAGGAUCUUAUAUGGUAUUGUUCAUGAGACAGCUGGAGUACUGCAUGGAAGGCAUCAAGUCAAGACCCCUCUGUGACUGCCACAAAUGCACCAAUAAGACAGAUCUGUCAUGAUGUACCAUUUUGGGGUAUGUGCACACAGCACUGCCCUCAACUGAAUGGACUCAGACCUGCUUAACUCUCUAGUGUUCUUGCCCUCCAAUAGUUGCAGUGUACAAAAGAGAUAAUAUGAUGUCUUACUCAUGAUAACUAAGGGACGAGUCAGUGAUUUUAGAGCAGAAAGUUGAGAGUUCUGUUCCCCAUGCUUUAUGGGCCAAAGCAGAUGUUUGUGUUCUAAGUAUAUGCAUGGUUGUGUAUCAAAGGGCUAUGUGUUUGUGAGCGGAGCUUUCCAUGUGCCUUGCUGGGUGCAGACACAUUCUGACAGUUGUGUAUAUCCGCAUCUUUACUUGUUUCACUAGCUCAUCUUUGCAAGCUAUGAAUAAGGACAGGAGAUUACUAUGGUAUGUAAAGUAAGUCUCUUGGCUACACUUCUUCAAUAGGGAGCCUGGCUGCUGAGAUGGGAUUCACUUGCUGAGAACCCAACUGCAGUCUGACAGCUAUGGGAUGGCUGUGUUUUUCCUCCUCCCUGUAUUGAUUUGUUUGGCAUUUUGUGUUUUACUCCAUUCCAUGUUUAAUGUGCUGCCUAGCAUUGCUCAGGCUCUGCUUGUUGAAAUACUCCAUUAAAUCCAGGUACCCUCGUAGCCUGAAACAUGAAAUAUAUAGAGUUUUUCCUCUAAAGUAUAGUUUAUGCAAAUAAUUCCCUCUCUGCAUUCCUAUGCUAGUCAGGCUCUGCAUAUCUGAUUGGGCUCUUAAUGACUUUUGGGAAUCAUUUAAAUAGCUAGCUGACUGGCCCAGUUAAUAAUCAAAGCUGCAGCUCCUGGUAGUAGAAGUGAUGGAUGGCACAACCAAACUACCUCUCUGCACCAGUCUCUGGUUAUUCCCAAACCCACGUUUGUCCAUGGACCAGUUUUGCACUUUGCAGAAAAUUGGCAUGAUGUUGUCAGAUGUUCCCCAGUAGUAACGAGACACGCACAUUAAUAUACUGUGCAGACUGCUAGCCUGUUAUCUCUGCAUCUUGUCCUAUCUCAGGCUGUGAGAUUAUUGGAUCUUGUAAGUUAAGCAGUGCUGAGACCAGGUGCUGCAUGAGGGAGUGUUCAGUAGGUCACACACUUUACACUGUCUGAUAGCCCACUUAUGGCGUUUUGGUGCUAUGUUAGUGGAAGUGCCAUUUUUAGAUGAGUCAUAAGACAGAAGCCCUACCCACUCGUGCUUACUAGUUGAUCUCAUGGCAUCCUUUCACAAGUGUAUGUGAACUGGGCGUAAUUGGUGCACUGUCUGCCUGAGUUUACAGAGAACCCGAAACAAUUACUCUGAGAUAUGUGAACUCCUCUAGGAACCUCCAUAGGGUGUUAACUAUGAACUCCUCCAGGGGCCAACUGCUCUGUGGGGUCCCAGGGACACCAAUACUAUCUGGGUCUUUGUGUGACCAGAGUCGAAGAGUGAAGUGAGCAUCCCCCACCAUCAACACUGGCUGCUGGGGUACGUAAAGAGAAGCCAUGAGCUGCCAUCCCUGCCUCUCUUGGGACUGCAGGGGACCUCUGCUGCCCCUGAGGGUUAGGAGGCCUUGUUGCCACUCCUGUGGGUUGGAGAAGACCCCAUGUCACUCCCACUUCCUUUCUAAGAGGGGAGUGCUACAGUGAUGAGUCUGUAUGAGAACCUAUAUAGAUAAGUCUAUAAUACACCAUAUAUGGAGUUCAGCUACCCAUUGCUGAAAUGUAGCCACUUGUGGGCCAGAGUGGGGCAGCCGUUUUGCACAAGCAUUAUUGCUCAUUCAUUGGAUUGAAACAGGGGAUAGCAUCUCCAACUGAAACAACAGGUGGAACUUAGGAUGCUAGCUGAUAACUACUCAAGUCAGAAUUCGGCCACACAGAGAAACCUGGGCUGAUGCUCUGGCUCAUGCAAAAAUUGCCAUGCUGCCUUUCAUCAGCUGCAGGUGGUUGGGGUUCUGUAUCUCAUCUAAAAGCCAGUGCUUCUUAUCACAGUGGCUCCAGUGGAGCCUAAAUCCACUGAUGUGAGUAUUCUCUCCCCUUCCAUCAAACCUAUGAACCUUCUAGGUCCAGCCAAAGCCCCUUUCUUUCACCUGUGUGACACUUCCUUGCUGCCAACAUGAAGUUCAGUCAGUGCUGAUGUCAUUUCCUUUCACUUAGUUGGACGAUUUGGGCAGAGUUGCCUAAAACCACGGAACACUGCUUUGAAGUUCCUUCUCUCUCCUAUUUUUUUCCUGCGUGUGAAAUACAGAUUUUUGUGCAUGUGAACAGAUGGCUGCCCCAAGCCAAAGGCUUUUAAUGGGAGGUAUAUGAGGAAGCAGCCCUGUCUGCCUUCCUCCAAAACUGCUCUUUACUCAACUUUAACAGUAAUAUUGUAUGUGAUGGUUUCACCAAGCCUUUGUUUUCCGUGUUUCUGAAACACCCUGCUUAAUUCACACUCAUUGCAUUUGAAUAGAAAACUUCCUUAUCAUUCUAGGGCAAGUGAAGAGAAGCAAUACCCAAGGUGUAAUUACCAUGUUUGUUAAACAGGAUCCAUUUAAAGCUGUCGAAAGAGCCAACCUCGUCCUCCUUCCAAAUUGGUUCUCUCCUUUUAAAGUGAAGGUUUAUGCUGCUGAGAGCUGACUGGGAGGCCCUCGCUGACAGGGAGAGGGUGGUCUCUGGCAAAUGUGGUGCUGCUUGUCAACAGCUCCUGUUUCCCUCAGCUCUGCUUUUAAGACCCAGGAUGGGGCUUAUCUCCACUCUUCUCAUAUCAUCUGAGGGGUCAACGCUCCUCACUGUGGUCAAGACUUGAAGAGCUGCUGUAGUCACCGUGUGGUGCAAGCAACAAAAGUACCCUGAAUUUCCCACCUGUCAUCUUUGGAUGUGGCCUUCACAUCCAGCUCCUCUGGGAGUUUGAGGGAGAAGAGUCACCCCACACAUGGAGCUCACCUGUGGUGGGAAAACUGUUACUUGGAGCUUGGGACAGGACUUGCUCCCAGACUACUGCUAGUUAAGCUGUAGCUCAAGGCAGGCUGGGAAAUUCAGUCCUUGUAAAGAUGGUCAUUAUACCAGGGGCCUCUUUCCCUGGCUGGGGCAUGCUGAGAAAUGGGAGGAGUCUGGGUUCCUCUAUAAACAAGAUCUCCCAUGCCCAUGAGAGCAGAGUGAUAUUAAGUGGGAGACAAUGGAAAAUUGCUUUCAUCUGACAUCCACAGAAACCUAUAGUGGUAAAGCUGGGGGGAGGGUUUCAGAGUGGCCUCCAUCUUGCCUGUCUGGAUGGUUAUUGCAGCGUUUGCUUCACUGGUUUUAUUUUAAUGAUGUAUUUUGCACCAUUUACUGUUUUAUGCAGGUUUGGGUACUGCCAUCAUUUGUAGUUACUCCAUGUCUGGACUCGUGUUUGACCUUACGAGCCCAAUUGUGAUCCCAGCGUUCUUUUAGCCACCACAGCCCCAGGGACUGAAGUCCUCUGCCCAUCCCAAGAACAGGUACAGCAUGGGCAGCAGCAGCGUGAGCUCUGUCAUCUCCCAUUGUGACUCAGCAUUGACCUAGGUUGCUCACCUGAUGGAAGGAGGGUACCACGGGACUGGACAUCUCUACAAAGGAGAAGUUGCACAUCUGAGAUGAAAGCCCAGUGGAGGGGACAGGACCAAGUGAUCUCUCUCCUCUCUGGUCACCACAGCAGCAGGUGACGUACUUGUGAAAGUGCAGGUGCAAGUUCAAAUAAAUGUCACGUCUGCUGGCCUGUCCAGUAGAUCAAUUUGGCAGGUCUGUCUCUUUGCAUAUUUGUGUGGUAGCAUAUUUGUAUGUCUCUCUCUGAUGCUAUCAUGUCCCAAGCUGUUUUGUAAUUUGGUUGACAGAUGCAGUCACUAUUUAUAAUUACUUAUUUAAGCAAGAGUAAAAUCAAGUGACUUACUAACUGAAUCCAAACUGCUGACCUUAAUGUAUUUUAAAAGUUCAUCGGAUACUGAACCUCAAAUGACCCAUGGAUGGAUCUGGAAUAAUAAUUUUCCUAAUCCUCAAGUCAUUAUCUUAAAAGGAAUGCAUUGUUCUCCUAAUUAAGUCCGUCCACAUGCUGUGCAUCCUCCAUGCAAAUGCACUAUGCAUAAACUAAUUAAAGGAAAUAUACAACCACAAGGACUCAAACUGUCUUUUAUGCAGUUUUUUUGAAUUAUAGGGAAUCUCCUCCCUCCCCCACGUAAACAGUCUGCAGUGAAGAAUAACAUCCCAACCUGCAACGAAAACCAGUGAGCAGUUGUGGAUCAGUGUUUGGAAUUGCCAGAACUUUAUUAUUAAUUAUUUGGGGUAUGUUGUGCCUAGCAGCCCCAGCUGAGAUCUGGAUCCCUGUGUACACACACGUAGGCAGUGUACACACACGUAGUCCCUGCCCUGAAGAGCUUACAAACUGAAUAGAUAAGAUGGACAAAAGAAGUUGUACUGUCCCUGUUCUACGGUUGAGGAAGUGAGGCACAGAGGGGUUCAGUGACUUUCUCCAGGUCACACAGGGAGGAAGUAUGUGGCAGAGGUGGGAAUGGAACUCGGGUAUCUCGAGUCCCAGUCCAGUGCCAUAACCCUCCUUCCUCUCAAUUUUAAUAACAGGCCCACAAGGCCUCACAAGUCUAGACAUAGCAGCAGCUGUGCAGAAAUUCCAUUAUGAUACUCAGUGGCACCAAACAUUGACUAGUUGGUGGGAGAGUGGAUGGGCGUGGUGGGUUCCUGGUGUCUACUAUAUUUCGUAUUCUGUUUGUGUCAUGCACAGAGAGAAAUGGGAUUCCCAUAAACUGACAAUGCCACUGUGACACCCUGGCACCCCUUUAUUCACCACUAUUCUGUAAUUAGGUUAUGUUUUGCACAAAGUAUGCCUUGUCAGGUCUCAUUCUAAAAGUCUUGAUCUGUUAGACAUUAAUAGCUCAUUGGAUUGUAUGUGCUAUCGUCGUAUGUGAAGUUACAAAGUUUGGCUAUGUAUGUAUUACUGAAACAUGUGAAGUUGAAAACACCCACAGGCAGCCUUUCAGGUACAACAG